GUCCCAGUUCGGAUUGCAGGCUGCAACCCGCCUGCAUGAAGUUGGAAUCGCUAGUAAUCGCGGAUCAGCAUGCCGCGGUGAAUACGUUCCCGGGCCUUGUACACACCGCCCGUCACACCAUGAGAGUCGGAAAUGCCCGAAGCCGGUGACCCAACCAAAAGGAGGGAGCCGUCGAAGGCAGGUCUGAUAACUGGGGUGAAGUCGUAACAAGGUAAC
rnacentral:rRNA from 1 species